GCUACGGCCAUAUCAGCCUGGGUACACCCGAUCUCGUCUGAUCUCGGAAGCUAAGCAGGGUCGGGCCUGGUUAGUACUUGGAUGGGAGACCGCCUGGGAAUACCAGGUGCUGUAAGCA
rnacentral:rRNA from 1 species